rnacentral:rRNA from 1 species
UACGAAGGGGGCUAGCGUUGUUCGGAAUUACUGGGCGUAAAGCGCACGUAGGCGGACUAUUAAGUCAGGUGUGAAAUCUCGGGGACUCAACCCCGGAAACUGCCAACUUGAUACUGUGGUGCUCGAGUACUGGAGAGGAGAUUGGAAUUUACGGUGUAGCAGUGAAAUGCGUAGAUAAUCGUAAGGAAGACCAGUGGCGAAGGCAGCCCC